CACGAAAGUGAGCUUCCGCAAGGACACUCGUAGAGGUGCUGCAUGGCUGUCGUCAGCUCGUGUCGUGAGAUGUUGGGUUAAGUCCCGCAACGAGCGCAACCCUUGUUUGCUGUUGCCAUCAGGUUAUGCUGGGCACUCUGCAAAGACUGCCGGUGAUAAACCGGAGGAAGGUGGGGAUGACGUCAAGUCAGCAUGGCCUUUAUGUCUGGGGCCACACACGUGCUACAAUGGCCGACACAAACCGUCGCGAUACCGCAAGGUGGAGCUAAUCGGAGAAAGUCGGUCUCAGUUCGGAUCGUAGGCUGCAACUCGCCUGCGUGAAGUUGGAAUCGCUAGUAAUCGCGGAUCAGCACGCCGCGGUGAAUACGUUCCCGGGCCUUGUACACACCGCCCGUCACAUCACGAAAGCCGGUUGUACUAGAAGUCGCCAUACCAACCCGCAAGGGAGGGAGGCGCCUAAGGUAUGGUCGGUGAUUGGGGUGAAGUCGUAACAAGGUAGCCGU
rnacentral:rRNA from 1 species